GGAGAUCAAGACCACCCUGGCUAACACGGUGAAACCCUGUCUUUACCAAAAAUACAAAAAAUUAGCCAGGCCUGGUGGCGGGCACCUGUAGUCCCAGCUACUCANNNNNNNNNNNNNNNNNNNNNNNNNNNNNNNNNNNNNNNNNNNNNNNGGGGAUCAGUGUGCACAGUGCAUCUGCUUCAUGCCUCCUCCUGUCCCUCCCCUCCCUAGGGAAAUUAUGAACACCUCCUUUUGCCAGGAGCAAGGAAUCUGGAACUUCCCCUGUACUUGGGGAGCUUGCCAAGGGCUCUGAGGGCAAAGUGAUAUCCCUGCACUGCUGCCUGCUGGUGGGGGAUCCAAAGGGAGCCUAGGAACAAGGGCCACCUAAGGAACCAGCCAGAAAAUGACUGUGCCUAGGAGAGCACUUGCUGCAGACUGAGACGAUCCUUUGUGAGCUCCCCUGACGCCCCCGAGAGGAAGAGGGAGAUCUGGAAAGGGACUGGAGAGUUGUGAAAAAAGCUGGCACAUGAUGGCAAGGAAUGGACAGCGUGUGGAUUGUCCUUAAGGAAAAGGGUAAGGCCGGUGGUCUCAGAGUCAGGAGUCUUGGUAACUGACCACUACUGAGUCACUGUCCCUUUCUGGGUCUCAGUUUCCCCACCUGCAACAUGUAACGAUACCGGAGUUGCUGGGAGGACUAAAUAUUUAAAACCUCUAGAAGAAUGCCUGGCACAUUCAGUUGUUUAGUAGUGGCUAAUGUUAUAAUCAUUAAUAAAAUAAGGGAAUACAAUAAAUAGCACUAUCCUAAAUUUGCACCAAGUUGAUAGCCAAUAGCCGUAUUCUAUCUUGAAUAAUUAAAAUUAAAUAAAAUUAAAAUUUCAGUUCCUAGUUACACUAGCCACAUUUCACUGCGUCUCAAGAGCCACAGUAGCUAGUGGUUACCAUACGGGACAGAAUAGUCAUAGGGCAUUCCAUCAUUGUAGAGCAUUCUAUUGGACAGCACUAGGCUAGAUGUUCUCUAAGCCACCUUCCAGUUCUAAUAGUUUUGAAUUCUAUGAAAUGCAAUUCUAAGCCAGUGUAUCCUUCCACCAGCUGAUGAGCUCAGUGUCUUCAGUAAAUACAAGUUCCCUCAUAGACCUAAACUAAGCUAAAAAGAAAGGAAAAUCUGCUGUCAACAACAAAAAGUUAAAAAUCAAAAAUGAUAUACUCCAAAGUUCACUCAGAAUUAAUCUGGACAAUCCAUUGUUUUCGGUUUUUGGGUUUUUUGUUGUUUUUGUUGUUGUUGGGUUUUUUGGUUGUUUUUGUUUUUGUUUUUUUUGAGACACGUUAUUGUUCUGUAUCCCAGGCUGGAGUUUAGUAGUGCAAUCUUGGCUCACCGCAGGCUCUGCUCCCUGAGCUCAAGCAAUUCUCCCACCUCAGCCUCCCAAGUAGCUGGAACGUCAGGCACGGGCCACCACGCUUGGCUAAUUUGUUGUAUUUUUAGUAGAGACAUGGUCUCGCCAUGUUGGCCAGGCUCAUUAUUUUUAAAUCACAUGCAUUAAGACUCCUCUGCACAGUUUGAAAGUAUCAUUACUAACAGCACUGGCCUGGUAGGAAACACUGGAAAAGGUCAUCCAGCAGCUUAAGGAGGCUGGGAGAGAAGAGUUGGAGAAGGAAGAAGAGUUGGGGAGGAGGCUAGAGACACAGAGGACCUGUUCCUCCCUCCUGCUUUCCUUUUCCUUCCUGGAUUGGCCAACCUCUAGCUGACGCUUGGGGGAGGAGGAGGAAAGGGAGGUCUUCUGUGGGGCCAUUUGGUCCAGAGCAAGAGAAGCUGGCAUGGAGGAGGACAGGGUAGAGGAGGUACCACCAAGGACAGCAGGCUUACAAUUCUUCCUUCCCUGCACCUCCCCUUCCCCACCCGGCACUCAUCCAGACCUGGAUCCUAUGGAAAUCACGGGUAAACAACCUGUUGCUAAGCAAACAUCACAAGAAGCAGGUGCCAGAGAGCAUCCACUGAUAACCGGGGCUUACAGAGGGGAGGGAAGACAAUCUCAGAGGAACGGAAGAGGUGCUCCUAGGCCUAGACCUAGCCUAGAGAACCUGCUGGCUAUAGCCCAGAUAAGGAAAAGAGAGGGCCUGAGAAGGAAGGCAGGGAGGCAGUCAGACAAGGGACACUGCUGUUCCCACCCCUGUCCUGCCA
rnacentral:lncRNA from 1 species